AAGUACGCUCGUAGCAGUCGAGCGGAUGACGGGAGCUUGCUCCUUGAUUAGCGGCGGACGGGUGAGUAAUGCCUAGGAAUCUGCCUGGUAGUGGGGGACAACGUUUCGAAAGGAACGCUAAUACCGCAUACGUCCUACGGGAGAAAGCAGGGGACCUUCGGGCCUUGCGCUAUCAGAUGAGCCUAGGUCGGAUUAGCUAGUUGGUGGGGUAAUGGCUCACCAAGGCGACGAUCCGUAACUGGUCUGAGAGGAUGAUCAGUCACACUGGAACUGAGACACGGUCCAGACUCCUACGGGAGGCAGCAGUGGGGAAUAUUGGACAAUGGGCGAAAGCCUGAUCCAGCCAUGCCGCGUGUGUGAAGAAGGUCUUCGGAUUGUAAAGCACUUUAAGUUGGGAGGAAGGGCAGUAAGCUAAUACCUUGCUGUUUUGACGUUACCGACAGAAUAAGCACCGGCUAACUCUGUGCCAGCAGCCGCGGUAAUACAGAGGGUGCAAGCGUUAAUCGGAAUUACUGGGCGUAAAGCGCGCGUAGGUGGUUCGUUAAGUUGGAUGUGAAAGCCCCGGGCUCAACCUGGGAACUGCAUCCAAAACUGGCGAGCUAGAGUACGGUAGAGGGUGGUGGAAUUUCCUGUGUAGCGGUGAAAUGCGUAGAUAUAGGAAGGAACACCAGUGGCGAAGGCGACCACCUGGACUGAUACUGACACUGAAGUGCGAAAGCGUGGGGAGCAAACAGGAUUAGAUACCCUG
rnacentral:rRNA from 1 species